AAGAACGACUCUCGGCAACGGAUAUCUCGGCUCUUGCAUCGAUGAAGAACGUAGCGAAAUGCGAUACUUGGUGUGAAUUGCAGAAUCCCGUGAACCAUCGAGUCCUUGAACGCAAGUUGCGCCCGAAGCCAUUAGGCCGAGGGCACGCCUGCCUGGGUGUCACAC
rnacentral:rRNA from 1 species